GUGAUGACGUCACAGUUCCUUCGAUACGCAUAGCAACGAUCCCACUGGGGACAAACAAAAGUAGCGUCGUCUCCACCGAACCAGUUGUCAGUGGCAACAUAUAGGAAUCGUGUACAUUUCUUCGUUUCUUCUUUGCUGUUUUCAGUGAGUGUUUUGUUUUCUCUUUGUCCUUGAUCUCGACGGUGUUGUCGUGCUCAUUACCUUACUGAGACGUCUCUUGUGACUGUAGCCAGUGUCACGGAGGAUUUUAUUGGCGUGACGAGGUAGAUCGCCGAGAUCGAGCGUGACAAACGCUCUGCAUUAGUAGCUCCUGUAGAAUGUCUUCUGGGAUGGCGUAUCCAUGGUCAACAAAACCAAGGUGCAAGACAACAUAAGAGAUCGUGUACACGAUGUGAACUCCAAAAGAUAAUCUGGACAAAUAAAUUAUAAUUGUAACUGGAGAGUGCAAUCGUGCUUGGGGCCCAUCCCAAUGUCAUCACAUGGCUGUGGUGACUAGUGCAUACCUGCGAGAGUUUUUCCUCAACUGAGACGGAGUGUAGGUGGAUGGAUUAUGAGAAAUGCGAAGAUGUGGAGUUCAAGGCUAGAUGCACUUCACAUUCGGCGUGCGAUCUCGGCGUCUGGGACCUGAUAACAUCUUGGUUGGAUGGGUAAUCGAGGAUGAUACUACUCGGCACACCAAUGUACAUGUCAAUGUAAUUUUUUACUUUUUCAGAGCUGCACUAACAGUUAUUUACGGACGAAUGUGUCUGUUAGAGAGGAAAUAAAUAGUAUUCACAAACA